AGAAGCGAGCCAAGUGGAUGGUCGAUAGGUUUAACUUGCUCUCGUUACAGAUAAAUAUUUUAAAAUGUACUGUUUAUUUAUUUUCAACUGUGAAGUAGUGAUAUUGUUGACGUCUUGUGCAGCAAUGGAUUUUAUUGCAGAGCAAGUUUUCUCUCAAAUGGGGAUGUAUCAGAUUUAGGGAACUGCGGAUCGGUGUGUAACACGUGGCAUUUGUUCAUUUGUGAAGGGAAAAAUUUAUCUCUAAGGUUAAUUUGUGUGAUGGUGGGGUCUAGGGGUCCUGCAUGUAACUCAUCUCAAGCUUCUCGUUCUCUGAAGUGUGUGGCACACUGCCACUGGUGGUUGCAAUGGAAGGCUGUGUAGGAGCAAUAUCUAAUCACACUUGCAGUAUGUCACACAUCAGUCGUUACCAGCUUCCUCAUAACUAAGGAUUCACUGUUGAAAUCUGUGAUAGCUGUGUGGGUGGAGACGUAAUUCGAUGCCUUUUUAGAAUGUCGAAUCCCAACCAUCCAACAGAUUCUAUAUCGAUCUAUACAUUUUCGCCCACACACUACGUCAUUGCAGAUGACUGAAAUUGGUAUAAAUAGCGUUGUCUAAUGUUACCUGAAUUAUCGACGAGACCUGGCCGUAUCAUCAUGCGCCAAACUCUUCUCCUCACGUUGGUUUUGUGUGGUCUGUUCCUGGGUGGAAUAUGUGGCAAAGACGAGGAAGGCGAUGACCAAGUCGACCAAAUUGUCAGCCAAUGGGUCGUCCCCAACAAUCGCGUUUACCCAUUAUGGUAUAUUUUACACAGUUCAAUCGCAGGCUUUGCAAACACGUGUUCCCCUACGCUGGAACUUUGAUAGCGCCGCAAAAAGUCUUGACAUCAGCUUCUUGCUUUGAAGGGAGUCAGUCUGGUGUUAAAUUUGAACCGACGCAGUAUACACCAAUUGCAUAUCUUCACCUCUGCA